rnacentral:rRNA from 1 species
UUGGUUACCUCCCUGGCCUUUGGACCCCCCCCCCUCCCUUCCCCGGACUGAACCCUUUCAAGAAAACCGGGGAAUGAUGGGUUAACCGGCCCCUACGGGGGCCGCUGGGCCGUGAAAACCCGGUUAAUUGCCAUGGGUUGAACCCGGGAAAAAUCCUAACCAGGGAGCUGGAGGGGAACCUGGUGCUGGAUCAUUA